rnacentral:rRNA from 1 species
CUACGGGCCGCACCAGUGGGGAAUAUUGGACAAUGGGCGCAAGCCUGAUCCAGCAAUGCCGCGUGUGUGAAGAAGGCCUUCGGGUUGUAAAGCACUUUCAGAAGGGAAGAAGGAUAAUGAGUUAAUAGCUUAUUGUAUUGACGUUACCUUCAGAAGAAGCACCGGCUAACUCUGUGCCAGCAGCCGCGGUAAUACAGAGGGUGCGAGCGUUAAUCGGAAUUACUGGGCGUAAAGGGUGCGUAGGUGGCCCUAUAAGUCAGACGUGAAAUACCUGAGCUUAACUUGGGAAUGUCGUUUGAACUAUAGGGCUAGAGUGCAGAAGAGGAGAGUGGAAUUUCCGGUGUAGCGGUGAAAUGCGUAGAUAUCGGAAGGAACACCAGUUGCGAAGGCGGCUCUCUGGUCUGACACUGACACUGAGGCACGAAAGCGUGGGUAGCAAACAGGAUUAGAUACCCUCGUAGUC